GGACGGCGUGGAGGUCGGGCUGGUGUGAGACGCGUUUUCCGGCCAGCUGGUAUAUUUUGGGUGGCGGCUGUUCGGCGUCUGGUUACCAGUGGAGGUGAUGCUCUGCUUGGAGUUCCGACAGCGGCUUGGCUUAGGUUCCUAGGAAUCAGCUUGUGUCUUGUUUGUUGAAAAGAAGGUGAAGUCCAGUAGCUACGGUCUUUUCCUAGUAGUCUAUGUUUUC
rnacentral:lncRNA from 1 species